UGGGAACGUGCCUUUUGGUUCGGAACAACACAGGGAAACUUGUGCUAAUACCGGAUAAGCCCUUACGGGGAAAGGUUUAUCGCCGAAAGAUCGGCCCGCGUCUGAUUAGCUAGUUGGUGAGGUAACGGCUCACCAAGGCGACGAUCAGUAGCUGGUCUGAGAGGAUGAUCAGCCACACUGGGACUGAGACACGGCCCAGACUCCUACGGGAGGCAG
rnacentral:rRNA from 1 species